GGUUCACCCAGGCUCCACCCCUAGCAGGAGGGAGCCUGGGAGCGAACAAGUGCAGGAACCAGCUGACCUCUUCCGUGCUGGUAGGAGCAAAGUCCACUGGCAGGAGCUAACUCUGUGCAGCCCCCUUGACCCGGAGGCCGUGACCAUGAAGUCUGGGGAGAUUAUCUUCAAGGACAUGCCCUGAAGAGGAUCAGUUACUCAAAAAGUAUGACGGAAUACAUGUGCAGAGAAAUCCUUCCAGGAAUAAGAAAAAUAAUACGAAGUAAAUAUUCAAUUUUGUUUUUUGGAACAUUGCUGAACUGGAAGUAAAGAACUGGAACUAGAGGAAACAAACAAUGAGAAAGUAUAAUUCCAUGAGGAUUAGCUGAGUCCUAGAGCUUGCCUUAUCCUUGAGAAUAUCUGCCAAUUGUUAUAGCCUGCAGUCUGGAUGUUAAUUGGCAUAUGUUUGAAGAACAGAAGUGAAAACCAAGUGCCGGAGUACAGUAGAGAAGUCCUCUACAGCCAUUUCCUGUGAACCAAGAUAGUAAAUUUGAUCUGCCUCCAAAGAUGAGGAGGAGGAAGUUGUGACUGCCCAUGAAAAGAAGCUUGAUUGCGGCCUUUCUGUAAGUAGAGGUGUACCCACUGGUUGAAAGUAUCUUCAGAACGAACACAAAUAAACAUCCCCAAAUCUCUUCUGGAUUCAGUUUGUGGGAAAGAGCGUUAUGAAGAUCCUUGAGGAAUUGCCACACUGUCUUCCAUAAUGGUUGAACUAAUUUACAGUCCCACCAACAGUGUAAAAGCAUUCCUAUAUUUCCACAUACUCUCCAGCAUCUAUUGUCUCCUGUUUUUCAUAAUGGCCAUUCUAACUGGCCUGAGAUGGUAUCUCAAUGUGCAAACCCUGAGAUUUGAAGGGAGAAGAUAAACACCAGCUGCUAGUCUUUUGUUUGCAGAACAAUAAGGCCUGUACACUGAGAACCCUUUCUGGAUUGGUUCCACUGAUGAUUUUUCCUGAAGUAAAGAAACACCUUGCCAGUAGGAGACUGCCUUUUAAAGUUCUUUUGAUAUUGGACAAAUUGGACAAUGCCCCUGGUCACCCAGAACCCCAUGAGUUCAACGCCAAAGGAAUCAAAGUGGUCUACUCACCAGCAUCCCCCACCCCACAUACACACAACAUCUCUAAAUCCAGGGGGUCAAAAAGACCUUUAACAUUCAUUACACACAGUAAUCUAUGGGGAAACGAUUAUCAAAACUGUGAAAGAGAACCCUGACAUGGAGAACAUCAUGAAAGUUUGGAAAUAUUACAGCACUAAAGAUGCCAUUGUUGUUAUAGAAAAACAUGAAAACCAUCAAGCUUGAAACAAUAAAUUCCUGGUGAAAAAAACUGUGUCCAGAUGUACAUGACUUCACAGGAUUUAUCACAGAGCCAAUCAAGGAAAUCAUGAAAGUGAUUGUGGAUAUGGCAAAAAAAAAUUAUAGGGAAGGGUUUCAAGAUACAUAUCUUGGAGAAAAUUAAGAGCUAACAGAUAUCACACCAGAGGAAUUAAAAGAUGAUUUGAUGGAGAGUGCUUCCAACCCUGUAACAGAUUAUGAGGAAGAAAAUAUAGAAGGAGCAAUGCCAGGAAAUAAAUUCACAUUAGACAAUCUGGCAGAAGGUUCCUAUUAUUCAAGACUGCUUUUGACUUCUUUUACAGCCUAGACCCUUCUAUGAUAGAGGCACUUAGACUAAAAUAAAUGGUUGAAUAAGGAUUGGUACCAGAUAGGAACGUUUUUAGAGAAAUGAAAAAGCAAAAGAGUUAGACAGAAAUUACAAAGGAUUUCCGUAAAGUUACACUGAGUGUGACCUGCCUCUCCCACCUCCUCUUUCACCUCCUUCAUGUCUUCCACCUCUGUCACUACUGAGACAGUAACAUCAACCUCUCCUUCUCUUCCUCCAGGUCAACAUGACUAGGAGGAAUGAUUGCUAAUAGGCUGGAAUUUACUUGGGAGGAUGAAAAUGUUCUGAAAUCAGAUUGUAGUUGUGGCUGCACAACGUUGUAACUAUACUAAAAUCAUUUGAGUUUACACUUUAAAUGUGUGAAUUGUGUGGCUUGUGAAUCAUAUCUCAGUAAAACUGUUUAUAAAUGUACAAUGGUAUAUUCUCAGCCUAGUCAACAUGAUGGCAAGGGUGAAGACGUUUAUGAUGAUCCAUAUCAACUCAAUAAAUAGUAAAUAUAUUUUUCUUUUCCUUAUAAUUUCCUUAAUAACAUUCUCUUUUGUCUAGCUUACUUUAUUGUAAGAAUACAGUAUAUAAUAUAUAUAUAGCACACAAAAAACGUCUUAAUCAACUAUUCAUGUUAUUGGUAAGGCUUGUAGUCAACAGUAGGCUAUUAAAGUUUUGGGGAAGUCAAAAGUUAUAUGUGAAUUUUUCACUGCACAGGGGUUGGUUCUCCUAAUCCCGUGUUGUUCCAGGCUUAACUGUAAUGUACAUACAACCUCAUCUAAGAAGACCUUCCAGAUUUUUCCAAAUAGAAUUAACUUUGUUCUCUUUUCUGAUUCUCAUAAAAUUUGGUUGUAUGCUCAUUUCAGCCUUCCCAGUAUUAAUUAUUUAGAUAUCUAUAUCCCCAAAAAGAUGGUGAGCUCCAGGAGACAGGAUGUUUAUUUAAUAAUAAUGAUAAUAGUUAUUACAACUGACAUAUAAAUAUUACAUAGUUUACAAACAAGGCCUACAUACAUUUUCUCAUUUUUUCUCUCACAAGAGCCUUAUAAUAGCUUUGCAUUCUUUUCAGCACUGUAUAUAAUACUUUGCAUAUAGUAGGCUUUCAAAAAUAUUUUGGGGCUUAAUUAAAAUUAAAACUGGAUUGUGUGGGUUGAAUUAAAAUGCUGCCAAUUCUCUGAAUUUUUAUGUCCUGUAAAGCAAUUAAGAGAGGGAAAGAAGAGUCUGAAUAAUUUCACUUUUUCAUUUGUAUACAACUAAUAUAUCCCUAAAACAAAAAUUAAGAAAGUAUUCAUUUAACAAUUAAAAUUGAUUAUGAAAGCAUCUAAACAAGGCAGGUUUUUAAACAUUUGUUUAUCUAUUAGGUCAGAACAUCUCUUCUUUUUCCUGCUCCCUUUGUUUGCUCACUUGACUCUUGGUCAGUAUUCUGUGAGCUCCACAUACAGUGUGUACAUUGGGGAAAUGAAAGGUCACACCAGGCUACCUGUUGGUAACCAGGACCAAGCCAGUUAUGCCCAUUCAACAUAUUUUCUUUUAGAAGACAGAGUUUCUUAUAGCGCUUUGAGGCCUGCUUAAAUUCUGACAUUUCUGUGUUGGAAAAUGAACUGAAGUUAUCAACCUACAUUUCACUACACAGAUCAUUAGUAACUAGAGCUGAAUUAUAAGCUUAUAUGAUAAUAUCCCAUGAGACAAAAGCUUUCUCACCAGUACGCACUUGAAGUAAUCUGGUUUCUCUACUAAGUCUCUUCUAUUUUCACGAGCAAUUUAAAAAUCACUUACAAUUCAGAAAAUAGGUCACCGCUUAUUUAGUUUUUUAAGAUAGUUGCAAGCAGUGUUUACCCCAUGUCAAAAACCAUUUCUUAUUUUCGUGGGACUCAAAUUGCCAAUGGCUCUCUGGAAAAGAAAGGUCAUUCAAAAAGAAAUGGAACCAGAGAGUGGCUAAUAUAAAGAACUACACUUGUUUUAAAAAAUGAAAAGCAAAACCUGAGAAAAGCACUUAGGAGCUAAAUACUAUUAGAAUGAGAGGUAAGACUCCUGGAAAAAGAAUAAAAACAGAAUAGAGUCGAGUACCAGAAAGGAAACCAAUGAAGUAAGAAAUUAUUGAUGGUAUUUGCAUGUAGAGUACAUGUAAGAAGAGAAAUAAAAGUAAUGGUCUUGGAAUUCCACCUACAUCGCAGACUCUUUUCCUGUAGGCAUUCAGAACAUAUUACACAAAAGUAAAACUCUGCCAACAAUAGUGGCUGUGUUUCCAUAGUCCCUUGACGGACCAGAGCUUGUUUUAAGGAAUAAGGAGCCAACGAAGGUUUUUGUGCAGAUGGUGACAUGGUCUAUUUGUGCUUUAAAAGGGCCCCGUCUGGCAGCAUUAUAGAAAAAUUAUUGGAAGAAAAGAAUAACCAUAAAGAGUUGGAAGAUACUGCAAUAUUCUAAAAAUGAGAGAAGAGUCCAGAAUCCAAAACUGACAUUGAAUUACAAGGAGAUAAUGAAUAGGAAGGACAUUAGGAGGUAAAUUCAGUUGGACUCAGUAACUCCUGAGCUAGGAAGAGUAAAAAGGAAUAAAAUGAAACUAGAAAGAGAGUUCGUUAUUUUACUGCGCCUUGAAUAGACAGUGGGAUGGGUGUUGACUAUAUUAAUUAGGAAAUAAAAGAGGAGACAAUGCCUUGAGAAGAUGAGCACAGUCAAUGGUGUUGACCUGCACUUAGCUGCAAAUCACAUCAUCUGCCUGAGGCACAGUUGAAAUAAAAGGAGUGUCCACAAUAUAUUAGAAAGAGUAACACUUCUAAAAAUCCAUGGGAACACAUUUAUACUAACUGACAGAUUGCUCUUACAAUAAUACAAUUGAUUUCCAUUCUUCGUUAAGUACACAAUUAACUUCAGAGGCAUUAAGAUAUAAUGGAUAGGUGUGUCCUGCUUUACCAGUUUAGAGCAUAGGAAACUUCUAACGUUUAAAAUAAUAUGACGAGCACUUUCCCAUCCUUCUUACGACAAGAAUGUCUACUUUCCUUCCUCACUACUGAGUUCUAGGGAUGUCCUCCUUGCUAACCUUCACUGGGAGAAAAAUAAAAGCACCUCAUGAAUUUGCCCAAGGCCCCCUUCUCUGCCACACCGCACUACUCUAGAAGGCUGCUGUAGUAUGCAUCCUGGGCAGGCCUCCACCAUGAAGAUGCCCCUCAGAGGCUUGCCUGCUUAUCUGAAAUGAACUAAGUUGAAGCUUCAGGCCCCUCACCUAAAAGGGCCUCCUCCAUGUCCCUGGAAUGGGUCCUAGCAACUGUAUAUUCUGAAUUUUGUAUUCUUUUAUUUUUAAAGAAGGAACCCAACAUGUUAUAAAUUCAGGUUCAAUAACACCUGAAGUGGCCCUUUCCCACACUGUCACUGCUGCUCUGAGAGCAGCUUCUCCACAUUGGGGAAGGAAGAAGCAGCCUCCUGACUCUCUCUGUCAAGUUUAUGGUUGUGCUGUACCAUGGUAGGCUAGGGAUGGUUCUGGGACUUAUAAGAUCCUCUUGAGCUCCUAAAAUAUUGCUUGAUUUUAAUCAAAUACACAGUGGAAAUCUCCAAUUGUGACUAUACUAAACAUAGCCCUUUUGAUGCUUCUGUGAACGUAAUGGAACCUAAACUGGAAGCUACCACCAGGAUUUAAACCUUUGGAGGAAUGUGAAUAAUUAAGGAGGCAUAUUCAGGAUUUAACUUUAUUUCAGAAGGAUAAAUGUCUUAGAUACUAACUUGUCUUCUUAUUCAAUUAAAUAAUGUAAGAGUUCAUGUUUCACUGAAAUAUUGUUUUUUUGCCCUAUUUUGAUUUUUCAGGAUAAAAAGUCCAAACAUUACAAUAUUCCUCUUUUUAGAAAAUGAAUCUGGCAGAAAUUUUAUCUUUUAUUUUUCUACCUUUAAAAGACCAAGUUGGAGUUUAUUUUUUGCAUUAUUUUAAAAACUUAGGGAUAAGUAAACUUUUAAAUAAGAUACCAAAAAGAGCAAAAAUCUCUAAGAAUGUUUUAAAAAUUAGAAGUGAGGGAGAGACUAGCUCUGCAAACUAUUAAAACGUGUUGCAACAUUAAAUCAGGAGCAGUGUGAAGAGGCGAGAAUGACCCCAGGGCCAACCAAAGCCCACGCCCAGCAACUAUGUCCUGCUACCACGCCCAGGAGAAAGGUGAAGGGCUAAGCACAGAGAAGAUCCGCGAGGCUGUCUGUUAAACCUGCUUCCUCCAAAGCCAGAGCCCAAGCCUAAAAUGGCUCCUGCAAAGAAGGGAGACAAGGUACCCAAAGGGAAAAAAGGAAAAGCUGAUGCUGGCAAGGAGGGGAGUAACCCUGCAGAAAAUGGAGAUGCCAAACAGAUGGGACACAGAAAGCUGAUGGUGCUGGAGAUGCCAGGGAAAGUGGGUGCAUUUUUGAUAACUGUGCACUUCUGGUGACUAUACAGUUUGAAAUACUAUUUUUAUCAACUUUCAUAACAUGUAGAACUGUGUUUUACCUUUUGUUUAAGCUAUCUUGUUAGCACACAGAGCAUUUCAUUGUUGUUUUGGGGAAGGGGUAUAUGUCACUCAUAGAAUGUCUCUGAAGCUGGAUUGAUGUGGGUGGGGAUAACACCUUUACGUUCUAGUUUUGAGAGACUUCCUCUUGACUUCCAGGAAGAGGGAUUCCCUGAUUUUGACACACAUGGCCACCUUGGCACACAAAAGCCUUGUGAUAUGGAAAAACAAAUUCAUUUUUAUUCCAUCUUUCAGCAUAGACUUAACUCCUUUAAGCCCAGACAUCUGUUGGGACCUGACCCCCAGUAGUUGGUUACCAGUGUGUCAGGCAAUCUGGACUUUCCAUUGAUGCCGCGGAGAUGGCACCCCUCAAAAGAACAGUGGUUCUGUUUCUAGAUUGUGGAUCUUCAGAUAAAUUCUGCCAUUUUCAUGCCACUUCCUGAAAGUCAGGGUUGGCUCAUGAAAAGCUGUUAAACAACAUGUGAAAUGUGAAAUGUCAACCCUCACUCUAAACUUUCCCUGUUCGGAGCAUCAGAUGAAGACUUCUUUGGUUUUUAUAGUGGCUUUUUGAUUUUUGGUAGUCCAUUGAAGAAGGGAGUUUCAAAGUUGUAUACUAUUAGAGAUUGCCUACCCAUGUCCUGCCUGAAAUACCAUGAUUGUUUAUGGAAAAUAUCUUUAAUAAACUUGGAUACAGUUUGGCUUGGGGAAAAAAAGUUUAAUCAGUGUGACAGUAACGAAAGCAUAUCAUUAACUAAAUACAUACUGGCUAUUAUUUUCAAUGAUAAUGUUAUUAUAAAGACUUCUUGUACCCACCCCCAUCCCCCAAAGCAGUAGUUAGUCACCUAAGGUAUCUGAGUCUCCCUUGUCAGAAUUCUCAGUUUACUGGAUUGCAAGUUUGCUUUUACCCAGGAAUAAAUGCUUGAGUGGCCGCACCUGACUCAGCUUUGGUCACGUGUCUACAUGUGGCUCCUUUGCUAGGAUCCCCUUGAACUGCUAAAAUAUCGCUUGAUAUUAUCAAAUACACAGUGGAAAUCUCUAUUGUGAAUAUACUGAGUACAGCCUUUUUGAUGCUUCUGUGAACCUAAUGGAACCUAAAGUGAAAGCUACCACCUUGAUUUAAAGCCUCUGGUGUAACAUUCUUUUGCAGUGCUUCUGAGGAAAUCACUUCUGGAGCAACUGCUUUUGCUUCUGUAUCAGUCCCUCACCUCUGUCGUCUCAUCACUGAUCUGUUUGCCUCUGCUUUCUA